CUCGGAUCAGGUAGGGAUACCCGCUGAACUUAAGCAUAUCAAUAAGCGGAG
rnacentral:rRNA from 1 species